UACGAAGGGGGCUAGCGUUGCUCGGAAUCACUGGGCGUAAAGGGUGCGUAGGCGGGUCUUUAAGUCAGGGGUGAAAUCCUGGAGCUCAACUCCAGAACUGCCUUUGAUACUGAAGAUCUUGAGUUCGGGAGAGGUGAGUGGAACUGCGAGUGUAGAGGUGAAAUUCGUAGAUAUUCGCAAGAACACCAGUGGCGAAAGGCGGCUCACUGGCCCGAUACUGACGCUGAGGCACGAAAGCGUGGGGAGCAAACAGGG
rnacentral:rRNA from 1 species